GAGUGAUCAAGUGUCUUAAGGGCAUUUGGUGGAUGCCUUGGCAUGCACAGGCGAUGAAGGACGUGAUACGCUGCGAUAAGCGUCGGGGAGGUGCGAAUACCCUUUGAUCCGACGAUUUCCGAAUGGGGCAACCCACCUUAGAUAACUAGAAAAUCUGUUUUGUUGGAGCGAAGCUUUAUGGGUAAGUGCCCAUACAGACCGCUAGGUCGUCGGCCCGUGUGGGCCGCCCCCGCGGAGCGCCAGCAUUCCUCUGGAAUGCGUACGGCGCGUGAGCGAGAACAACACAGCUUUCUAGUUAUCGUAUAAAGGUAUCUAACUCUGAAUACAUAGGGGUUAGAAGCGAACCUGGGGAACUGAAACAUCUAAGUACCCAGAGGAAAGGACAUCAAACGAGACUCCGCUAGUAGUGGCGAGCGAACGCGGACCAGGCCAGUGGCUUUUGUGAAUGAAGUGGAACGAGUUGGAAAACUUGACCGAAGUGGGUGAUAGUCCCGUACACGUAGAAUAGCAGAAGUCCUUGAGUAGGGCGGGACACGUGAAAUCCUGUCUGAACAUGGGUCGACCACGAUCCAAGCCUAAGUACUCGUGCAUGACCGAUAGCGAACCAGUACCGUGAGGGAAAGGUGAAAAGCACCCCGACGAGGGGAGUGAAACAGUACCUGAAACCGGAUGCCUACAAACAGUUGGAGCCCAAGGUUCGUCCUGGGUGACAGCGUACCUUUGUAUAAUGGGUCAGCGACUUAGUGUAUCGAGCAAGCUUAAGCCGGUAGGUGUAGGCGCAGCGAAAGCGAGUCUGAACAGGGCGUUCAGUUCGAUGCAUUAGACCCGAAACCAAGUGAUCUAGCCAUGAGCAGGUUGAAGGUACGGUAACACGUACUGGAGGACCGAACCCAUAUCUGUUGCAAUAGAUCGGGAUGACUUGUGGCUAGGGGUGAAAGGCCAAUCAAACUUGGAGAUAGCUGGUUCUCCGCGAAAUCUAUUUAGGUAGAGCGUCGACCGAAUACCCCGGGGUAGAGCACUGGAUGGGCUAUGGGGACUCACCGUCUUACUGAUCCUAACCAAACUCCGAAUACCGGGGAGUACUAGUCGGCAGACACACGGCGGGUGCUAACGUCCGUCGUGGAGAGGGCAACAACCCUGACCACCAUCUAAGGUCCCUAAGUUAUGGCUAAGUGGGAAAGGAUGUGAGGAUCCCAAAACAACCAGGAUGUUGGCUUAGAAGCAGCCAUCAUUUAAAGAAAGCGUAACAGCUCACUGGUCUAAAUAAGGGUCUUUGCGCCGAAAAUGUACCGGGGCUCAAGCCAUACACCGAAGCUGUGGAUGCACGUAUGUGCGUGGUAGCGGAGCGUUCCGUAAGCCUGUGAAGGGACAGUCGUGAGACAUCCUGGAGGUAUCGGAAGUGAGAAUGCUGACAUGAGUAACGAUAAAGGGAGUGAGAGACUCCCUCGCCGAAAGUCCAAGGGUUCCUGCUUAAAGUUAAUCUGAGCAGGGUUAGCCGGCCCCUAAGGCGAGGCCGAAAGGCGUAGUCGAUGGGAACCACGUUAAUAUUCGUGGGCCUGCAGGUAGUGACGGAUCGCGUGUGUUGUACGUUCUUAUUGGAUUGAACGUGCAGCGAAGCGGUUCCAGGAAAUAGCUCCUGCAUAUAGACCGUACCCUAAACCGACACUGGUGGACUGGUAGAGAAUACCAAGGCGCUUGAGAGAACUGCGUUGAAGGAACUCGGCAAAAUGCACGCGUAACUUCGGAAGAAGCGUGACUCAUAUGGGCAACCAUGGACAGACCAGGGGUAGCGACUGUUUACCAAAACACAGGGCUCUGCGAAGUCGCAAGACGACGGGGUCUGACGCCUGCCCGGUGCUGGAAGGUUAAGAGGAGAUGUGCAAGCAUUGAAUUGAAGCCCCAGUAAACGGCGGCCGUAACUAUAACGGUCCUAAGGUAGCGAAAUUCCUUGUCGGGUAAGUUCCGACCUGCACGAAUGGCGUAACGACUUCCCGCUGUCUCCAACGCAGACUCAGUGAAAUUGAAUUCCCAAGAUGCGGGGUUCCUGCGGUUAGACGGAAAGACCCGUGCACCUUUACUAUAGCUUUACACUGGCAUUCGUGUCGGCAUGUGUAGGAUAGGUGGUAGACUUUGAAGCAGUGGCGCCAGCCAUUGUGGAGUCAUCCUUGAAAUACCACCCUUGCCUAUAUGGAUGUCUAACUGCGGCCCGUUAUCCGGGUCCAGGACCGUGUAUGGUGGGUAGUUUGACUGGGGCGGUCGCCUCCUAAAGAGUAACGGAGGCGCGCGAUGGUAGGCUCAGAACGGUCGGAAAUCGUUCGUCGAGUGCAAUGGCAUAAGCCUGCCUGACUGCAAGACUGACAAGUCGAGCAGAGACGAAAGUCGGUCAUAGUGAUCCGGUGGUCCCGCGUGGAAGGGCCAUCGCGGAUAAAAGGUACGCCGGGGAUAACAGGCUGAUGACCCCAAGAGUCCAUAUCGACGGGGUUGUUUGGCACCUCGAUGUCGACUCAUCGCAUCCUGGGGCUGGAGCAGGUCCCAAGGGUAUGGCUGUUCGCCAUUUAAAGCGGUACGUGAGUUGGGUUCAGAACGAGACAGUUCGGUCCCUAUCUGCCGUGGGUGUAGGAAUAUUGACAGGAUCUGUCCCUAGUACGAGAGGACCGGGAUGGACGUAUCUCUGGUGGACCUGUUGUCGUGCCAACGGCAUAGCAGGGUAGCUAUAUACGGACGGGAUAACCGCUGAAGGCAUCUAAGAAACCCACCUGAAAACGAGUAUUCCCUAUCAGAGCCGUGGAAGACCACCACGUUGAUAGGGG
rnacentral:rRNA from 1 species